GUGGUGGGUAGCUCAGUGGAUAGAGCGCCUAAAUAUCCUUAUUCACCCCUUGCCUGAAAAGGCCGACGAAUCGAGGGUUAUCGCCUGCCAAGCGGGAGGUCGCGGGUUCGAUUCCCGCUCCACUACACCA
rnacentral:tRNA from 1 species